GCCUACGGGGGGCAGCAGUAGGAAAUCUUCCACAAUGGGCGAAAGCCUGAUGGAGCAACGCCGCGUGGGUGAAGAAGGUCUUCGGAUCGUAAAACCCUGUUGUUAGAGAAGAAAGUGCGUGAGAGUAACUGUUCACGUUCCGACGGUAUCUAACCAGAAAGCCACGGCUAACUACGUGCCAGCAGCCGCGGUAAUACGUAGGUGGCAAGCGUUAUCCGGAUUUAUUGGGCGUAAAGGGAACGCAGGCGGUCUUUUAAGUCUGAUGUGAAAGCCUUCGGCUUAACCGGAGUAGUGCAUUGGAAACU
rnacentral:rRNA from 1 species